GUCGUGAGAUGUUGGGUUAAGUCCCGCAACGAGCGCAACCCCUGUCGUUAGUUGCCAACGGGUAAGCCGGGCACUCUAACGAGACUGCCGACGUUAAGUCGGAGGAAGGUGGGGAUGACGUCAAGUCCUCAUGGCCCUCAUGCCCAGGGCUACACACGUGCUACAAUGGCCGGUACAAAGGGUCGCUACAUCGCGAGAUGAUGCCAAUCUCAAAAAACCGGUCUCAGCUCGGAUAGAAGUCUGCAACUCGACUUCUUGAAGUCGGAAUCGCUAGUAAUCCCGGAUCAGCACGCCGGGGUGAAUACGUUCCCGGGCCUUGUACACACCGCCCGUCACACCAUGGGAGUCAGUUGCUCCAGAAGUGGCUUGCCCAACCCGCAAGGGAGGGCGGUCCCCAAGGAGUGGCUGGUAACUGGGGUGAAGUCGUAACAAGGUAACCGUAGGGGAACCUGCGGUUGGAUCACCUCCUUUCUGGAGACAUUCAGUCUCAAUCGGUCAAUCUCAACUCCAAUCCUCCUCGCUUUCAGUUUUGAGAGCCCGACCAUGCGGCUCUAAUCCGAUUGGGGGCAUUAGCUCAGUUGGGAGAGCGCGGGCUUUGCAAGCCUGAGGUCGAGGGUUCGAACCCCUUAUGCUCCACCAUUCUCUGACAACUGAAUAGAAGACGAAGCGCGAGUACCGGGCAGCUUGUUGUAUUCAGAGCGCUCGGUACCUUUGAGGGUAAAGAAGAAACGCUGAGGAGGUCCGUUGUGAGCGGACUGUUCUCGUCAAGUGAACCUUGGUCUCGACCCCGCAGGGGCAGGAAGCACUGCCCCGAAGGGUAACUGGACCCGAUGAAUGGACGUGCGAGGAGGCGGACAACGAGUGGAGCGGAGGCCCAACGGGCCGAAGCGAACGAGUUGUCAAAAACGCCGACGAGCGCGCCCGCGAAGCGGGCGCCAGUAAAAGUUGGUGGUCAAGCUACUAAGGGCACUCGGUGGAUGCCUUGGCGCCAGGAGGCGAAGAAGGGCGUGAUGAGCUGCGAUAAGCCGCGCGGAGCCGCAAGUAGGCGUCGAUGCGCGGAUGC
rnacentral:sRNA from 1 species